CUCUGCGGAAGGAUCAUUA
rnacentral:rRNA from 2 species